rnacentral:rRNA from 1 species
CCUUCGGGUUAGUGGCGGACGGGUGAGUAACGCGUGACAAUCUGCCCUCAGGAGGGGGAUAACGGCUGGAAACGGCCGCUAAUACCCCAUAUGCCGCGAGGUGAAAUGAAUUUCGCCUGAGGAUGAGCUCGCGUCUGAUUAGCUAGUUGGUGGGGUAAGAGCCUACCAAGGCAUCGAUCAUUAGCUGGUCUGAGAGGAUGA